UCAUAACGCAAUAUAUGGUAUUGGUUUCAUCAGGAAACAUCACUUUUGUGGCACUUUUGUGAUAGCACAUAUUUUGAAUACAAAUAAUAAAAAAAAUGAAUAAAUAAAAAUAAAGCCGACGAUAGCAAAAUCUAUUUAUAGUAAUCGGGUAUUUCCUAGAUGAUCACUUUCGGUUUCUAAAUGGUGGGAUAGACAUGUGCCUGGUGCCGAUUGUUUUCGCGGACCGAACAUAUUACCGAUACAAGUCGUCACCAAAACAAUAUGCAGUGACCACUGUCAACUCAACUAACAAACUGUGAAGUGACACUGGGCAUCAUGAAGAGCUGCGGACGUACCCUGUAUAUGGAGACAAACAGACAAACAAUCAUGUUCAGAUAGGCCUACAGAUGAACAUAACGUAGGUAAGGUAUUCCCCUUACUUGUAAGGUCUGGAGCUGUCUCAAUUUUACUUGCAAGCUUGGUGUACAAAAUUUAAUGUGAACAUUGGCUUAUGGAUGAUUCUGCCUAAUAUAUGACAUCAAAGGUACAUCAGCUUUAGGACUUUAUUUAUGUGGAUAUUUGUGGUGUGACCAAUACUAGAGGAUAAAUGCCAUCCCCUGCCACCAGAGACAGCAGAUUUAGGCAUAGUUUCCCUUAGUUACCAUCUCCCACUAUUCUAUGUCAUUGAUUAAAAUUACAUAACUUAA